rnacentral:sRNA from 1 species
UUUGUAAAGGAUCUUCAUGAAAUUUCAUCAGAUGAAAAUUUUACGGUUCGCUUAAUGAGAAACGGUUCGAUCUUUAUGUGUGCAAGGUU